rnacentral:rRNA from 1 species
CGUCCGGAUGCUUACACAUGCAAGUCGAACGGUCUCUUCGGAGAUAGUGGCGGACGGGUGAGUAACGCGUGAGAAUCUAGCUUCAGGUCGGGGACAACCACUGGAAACGGUGGCUAAUACCGGAUGUGCCGAAAGGUGAAAGAUUUAUUGCCUGAAGAUGAGCUCGCGUCUGAUUAGCUAGUUGGUGUGGUAAGAGCGCACCAAGGCGACGAUCAGUAGCUGGUCUGAGAGGAUGAUCAGCCACACUGGGACUGAGACACGGCCCAGACUCCUACGGGAGGCAGCAGUGGGGAAUUUUCCGCAAUGGGCGAAAGCCUGACGGAGCAAUACCGCGUGAGGGAGGAAGGCUCUUGGGUUGUAAACCUCUUUUCUCAGGGAAUAAAAAAAUGAAGGUACCUGAGGAAUAAGCAUCGGCUAACUCCGUGCCAGCAGCCGCGGUAAUACGGAGGAUGCAAGCGUUAUCCGGAAUGAUUGGGCGUAAAGCGUCCGCAGGUGGCACUGUAAGUCUGCUGUUAAAGAGCAAGGCUCAACCUUGUAAAGGCAGUGGAAACUACAGAGCUAGAGUACGUUCGGGGCAGAGGGAAUUCCUGGUGUAGCGGUGAAAUGCGUAGAAAUAACG